GACGAACGCUGGCGGCGUGCUUAACACAUGCAAGUCGAACGGAAAGGCCCUGCCUUUGUGGGGUGCUCGAGUGGCGAACGGGUGAGUAACACGUGAGUAACCUGCCCUUGACUUUGGGAUAACUUUAGGAAACUGGGGCUAAUACCGGAUAGGAGCUCCUGCUGCAUGGAGGGGGUUGGAAAGUUUCGGCGGUUGGGGAUGGAUAUGUGGCAUAUCAGCUUGUUAGUGGGGUAGUUGCUUACCAAGGCUUUGACGGGUAGCCGGCCUGAGGGGGUGAACGGCCAGAUUGGGAGUGAGAUAGGGCCCAGACUCCUACGGGCGGCAGCAGGGGGGAGUAUUGAACAAUGAGCGGGAGCCUGAUGGAACAACGCCGGGUGCGGGAAGACGGCCUUCGGGUGGUGAACCGCUUUCGCCUGUGACGAAGCGUGAGUGACGGUAAUGAGUAAAGAAGCACCGGCUAACUACGUG
rnacentral:rRNA from 1 species